UACGAACUGUGCGAACGUUAUUCGGAAUCACUGGGCUUACAGGGUGCGUAGGCGGCUAUUCAGGUCAGGUGUGAAAGCCCCCCGGCUCAACCGGGGAACUGCGCUUGAAACCGAGUGGCUCGAGUCAGCUAGAGGUACACGGAACUUCCAGUGGAGCGGUGAAAUGUGUUGAUAUUGGAAGGAACACCGGAGGCGAAAGCGGUGUACUGGGGCUGGUCUGACGCUGAGGCACGAAAGCCAGGGAGCAAACCGGGG
rnacentral:rRNA from 1 species